GACGGACGCUGGCGGCGUGCCUAAUACAUGCAAGUAGAACGCUGAAGAGAGGAGCUUGCUCUUCUUGGAUGAGUUGCGAACGGGUGAGUAACGCGUAGGUAACCUGCCUUGUAGCGGGGGAUAACUAUUGGAAACGAUAGCUAAUACCGCAUAACAAUGGAUGACACAUGUCAUUUAUUUGAAAGGGGCAAUUGCUCCACUACAAGAUGGACCUGCGUUGUAUUAGCUAGUAGGUGAGGUAACGGCUCACCUAGGCGACGAUACAUAGCCGACCUGAGAGGGUGAUCGGCCACACUGGGACUGAGACACGGCCCAGACUCCUACGGGAGGCAGCAGUAGGGAAUCUUCGGCAAUGGGGGCAACCCUGACCGAGCAACGCCGCGUGAGUGAAGAAGGUUUUCGGAUCGUAAAGCUCUGUUGUAAGUCAAGAACGAGUGUGAGAGUGGAAAGUUCACACUGUGACGGUAACUUACCAGAAAGGGACGGCUAACUACGUGCCAGCAGCCGCGGUAAUACGUAGGUCCCGAGCGUUAUCCGGAUUUAUUGGGCGUAAAGCGAGCGCAGGCGGUUAGAUAAGUCUGAAGUUAAAGGCUGUGGCUUAACCAUAGUACGCUUUGGAAACUGUUUAACUUGAGUGCAGAAGGGGAGAGUGGAAUUCCAUGUGUAGCGGUGAAAUGCGUAGAUAUAUGGAGGAACACCGGUGGCGAAAGCGGCUCUCUGGUCUGUAACUGACGCUGAGGCUCGAAAGCGUGGGGAGCAAACAGG
rnacentral:rRNA from 1 species